CCCAAACACUAUGCUGUACAGAAAGGGUGUUUCAUCUUGACUCAGAACCUGCAACGUGCAAACUGAGUCAGUUGCUGACAAUAUGGCACCAAUAGCUAGGAUUGCAGAGUAAGAGUGGUAAGACCAAUUCUCUUAAAAAGCAGAAAGGCACCUAGUGAUAUGAGGCAGAACGAAAUGACUGUGCCAAGUAUUCCAAACAACAAAAU
rnacentral:misc_RNA from 1 species